AACGAACGCUGGCGGCAGGCUUAACACAUGCAAGUCGAACGGCUGUAGCAAUACAGCAGUGGCAGACGGGUGAGUAACACGUGGGAACCUUCCUAGGGGUACGGAACAACUCAGGGAAACUUGAGCUAAUACCGUAUACGUCCGUAAGGAGAAAGAUUCAUCGCCCCUAGACGGGCCCGCGUCGGAUUAGGUAGUUGGUGGGGUAACGGCCUACCAAGCCUACGAUCCGUAGCUGAUCUGAGAGGAUGAUCAGCCACACUGGGACUGAGACACGGCCCAGACUCCUACGGGAGGCAGCAGUGGGGAAUCUUGGACAAUGGGCGCAAGCCUGAUCCAGCCAUGCCGCGUGAGUGAAGAAGGCCUUAGGGUUGUAAAGCUCUUUUACCAGGGACGAUAAUGACGGUACCUGGAGAAUAAGCCCCGGCAAACUUC
rnacentral:rRNA from 1 species